AGGGAAUAUUGCGCAAUGGACGGAAGUCUGACGCAGCGACGCCGCGUGAGCGAUGAAGGCCUUCGGGUUGUAAAGCUCUGUCCUUGGGGAAGAAGGUCUUCGGACUUGACGGUACCCAAGAAGAAAGCCCCGGCUAACUACGUGCCAGCAGCCGCGGUAAUACGUAGGGGGCGAGCGUUGUCCGGAAUUACUGGGCGUAAAGGGUGCGUAGGCGGCCCUUUAAGUCAGAUGUGAAAGCCCGCAGCUUAACUGCGGAAUUGCAUUUGAAACUGGAGGGCUUGAGUGUCGGAGAGGGUAGUGGAAUUCCCAGUGUAGCGGUGAAAUGCGUAGAUAUUGGGAGGAACACCAGUGGCGAAGGCGACUGCCUGGACGAUAACUGACGCUGAGGCGCGAAAGCGUGGGGAGCAAAC
rnacentral:rRNA from 1 species